CGGCUGCCUCGCCCCCUCGGAGCCGGGCCGGGUCUGCGGCGGCUCCUGGGACUUCUGACCGGCAGGCGCGGGGGCCGGAUCCCCGGGACCUGACUCCCACCCCGCGAGGCAUGCGCUCCAUCAGGGGCUCCCAAACCACUCCGACGCCACUCAGCCCAGCGCAGCCCCGACCCCUCCGAUGCCUGUGCUCGGGGUCCCUCCCUCCAGGGUCUCUCCGUUCUGACCCCGGAGCCGCCAAGUCCCCACCUCCGCGAACCUUCGAAGUUUCGCUGGUGGCGGUUCCCGGGACCGCGCCGCGCGCCGCGCCCCUGGCUGUCCGGGGCGAACUGGAUUCCUUCGCUGCGGCUUCGCCUCCCACCUACCCUGCUGUCCACUGCGGAUUCCCGGGCGAAGCCUUCUGCCCGCAGCAGCUUUUGUCUUCAAAAUCCAGCGUGUGUUUGGCACUGCAGUGGCCAAACCAUCAUGGAAGCCACAGAGCUUGGGAGCCUGUUGAUGUCAGCUCUCCAGGAGAAGGAGAUAUGAGUCAGAAAAAAAGUAGGAGAGGAACAGGCUGAUGCUUCCUGUCCGCCCUCUUCCAGAGAUUAUGUCUGGCAGAAGCUAGACUCUCUAGAUGAGCCGAGGGAAUCUGAGAGCCAAGAAGACUUGUGCAACGGCCUCCAGGGAAAGCCAGAGAAAGGGCAAGUCUCAACGAUAUCCCCCACCUCAGAGCAAAGGAGAAGGGCUGUGGGAUUCCUUAGCAGGAAGCACCAGCAACAACUCCCCCCUCCAAACGCCAGAGCCACGGAAGAAGCAACAACCAGGAGGCAGUGGGGUCCAGAUAAGGAUGCAGGGUCUGGAGAAGCCUGGAGGUCAGGAACAAGGCAUGAUGCAACUGUGAUAGUCAUGUGCUGUGACCAAGGACUGGGAGGACAAAGUACAGCUCGGCAGACGCCCAAUGGACGGUAACAAUGGCCCAAGCUCAGACUGUCUGUGAUGUCUUAGCAUCUCUAAGACCAAACAAGAGAUAACAGAGUGGGAGCAGAGGGAUUGAUAAGGGGAUGGGAGCAGGGGAGACAGAAGGAGACCCCAAGGGUACCCAGAAUGGACUAUGAUUAUAUUUUUGCCACUUGUUAAAGUGAAGUUGCUCAGUUGUGUCUGACUCUUUGAAACCCCAUGGACAGUAGCCAACCAGGCUCCUCUGUCCAU
ensembl:lncRNA